CCCAUCACACCUGCCCACUGCACACCCCACCAGGUCUGAAAAGCCAUUAAAAUGUGUUGUUGAACGUUGGAAGAAAAAUGCGGAGUAAUUAGAUUGCAAUGUUUUUUAUUAAGUUAAAAACUCCAUAGGAAACUGAACGCAUGGGAACGAACACAGUGGAUUUUAUUUUUAUACGAGCCUGUGCCUAUGGAAAGCUAGUAAUGAGUAAGUGGCACACUCUUUAAUGCAGCUCAUGUAUGCCUUGCAUUAAAGCUGCCCACCAUAAAUUCAUCCACUUUGAAAUAUAUUCAUGU